GCACUGCUGACGAGUCCCAAACAGGACGAAACAGCUGCUGUACAGUGC
rnacentral:hammerhead_ribozyme from 1 species